UCUCCUCACGGCGCACGAUAUGGUGCUCCGCACUGUACGUACAAUGAAAGCCAAAUGGCCAAAUUUUACAAGUAAUACACGUUAUUAUAAAGCGGUCAUGUUUAUGGAGGAUCCAAAAUCUACUUGGACGCAACAUCAUGCUGACUAUGCAGUAGCAAGAAAAAAAUCGAAAGAAGCCGAAGAACUGUCAGAUUUGAACUCUGACACAGAAAAAGAAGAGAAUCUAAAAAAAGUCAAGGAAAAUUAGAGCCGCUAAAAUCAUAAAUACGUCAGCAAGUAGCUCCGAAGAACUAUCUGACGAUAAAUUUAAUUUCUGAGCUUCCUAAAAUUCCGAUUUCUGUAAAAAAAUCUACAAAAAGUACAAAAAAGAUCCACAAUGUAGUAAAAGUUCUAUCAUUACUGAAGAGAUUCAUUAUGGAAACAAUGAUGACAAUAACUUACUCUCAAUAUCAAGUUCAAACUGGGUUAAAGAAGGAAAUCUACAAUGUAAUGAAAACUUGCUCUAUAAAAAAUGCAGUGGUAAGAAAGAAGACAUCUCAUUAGCUCAUAACAUAAUACCAGAUGUUGAACAAAAAAUUGAUAAUUUCCAACGUUUUACUAUAAGAAAACUAAUAAAUUUAGAAAUGAAAUUAAAUCAAAUUGUAAAUAAUAUGAAAAUAAUGAAUAAUAUGAACACAUCUCUUAAGGCUACCCUGAUAGCCACCUGUUUACGUUUUUGCUGUCAUGUUGCCGAAAACAAAACGCUUGAGUUUUCAGCAAAUUUAAAACAAGGUGAGUUAGGCAUUUGUUUUUGGUUUGACAUGACACGUAUUCAACAUGUGGACCGUUUAUUUUGAAAGUGGUGUAAGUCCAUUUUUCUUUUGUUUCGAGAAACUUAUAGGUUAACAUAUCUGUCAAUUAUGAAUUAUGAAUUACGUGAUAUCUCAUUUUUUUCAAAAAUAGACUUACACCACUUUCAAAAUAAACGGUCCAUGUGUUGCCGACAACUUGC